rnacentral:rRNA from 1 species
GGGUAACCUGCCCUAUGCUGGAUAAUAACCUCGGGAAACUGAGAAUAAUGAUCCAUAGUUCACUACGCCUGGAACGGUGAGUGGAUGAAAGCUCCGGCGGCAUAGGAUGGGCCUGCGGCGUAUCAGGUUGUAGGGGGUGUAACGUACCCUCUAGCCCUCUACGCGUACGGGUGUUGGGAGACAUAGCCCGGAGAUGGAUUCUGAGACACGAAUCCAGACCCUACGGGGUGCAGCAGGCGCGAAAACUUGGCAAUGCGAGAAAUCGUGACCAGGGAACUCCAAGUGCAUCGGGUAGGACCGGUGCUUUUCUUGACUCUAAAUAGGUCUUGGAAUAAGGGGUGGGUAAGGACGGUGCCAGCCGCCGCGGUAAUACCGGCGCCUCAAGUGGUAGUCGCUUUUAUUGGGCCUAAAACGUCCGUAGCCGGUCUGAUACAUUCGUGGGUAAAUCAACCAGCUCAACUGGUUGAAUUCUGCGAGGACGGUCAGACUUGGGACCGGGAGAGGUGUGGGGUACGCUCAGGGUAGGGGUAAAAUCCUGUCAUCCUGAGCGGACCACCUGUUGCGAAGGCGCCACACUAGAACGGAUCCGACGGUCAGGGACGAAGCCUAGGGGCACGAACCGGAUUAGAUACACGGGUAGUCCUAGGUGUAAACGCUGUGGACUUGAUGUUGGGGGUGCUCCGAGCACUCUCAGUGUCGAAGCGAAGGUGAUAAGUCCACUGCCUGGGAAGUACGGUCGCAGGGCUGAAAACU